rnacentral:ncRNA from 2 species
UGAAGUCUUUGUGGCAGGGUGUAAGUCCCUACCGAUGGUAUAGUCCAUGACCCGCUUUGGCGGCUGAGCCGGUGACUCCUUUUGUAUGAUAGGGGAAUUCCGGCACCGACGGUAUAGUCCGGAUGAGAAAAGACAUUU